GCGGGGGUGCCCGAGCCAGGUCAAAGGGGCAGGACGUAGGCCUGCGUGGGUUCGAAUCCCACCCCCCGCACCA
rnacentral:tRNA from 1 species